rnacentral:tRNA from 1 species
AGGUCCAUAGCUCAGUUGGUAGAGUGUCUCUUUUACACGGAGAGUGUCCUCGGUUCGAGUCCGGGUGGGCCUA